rnacentral:lncRNA from 1 species
CUCGAUGUCAGCAUUAAAGAUAAAAGCAUUGUCCGACCAUGGUAUAAGUUCCUCAAGGAAAAUGACUUUCAUCAUGGAGACGAAGUAUCAUUCUAUUACCGAACGCAUGAAAAAUUUUGGGAGAUCGUGAUUAGAAAACAGAGGAAGUGGGAAUAAUUUUCUUUUUACAUGUUAUUAUAUUUUGUUAAUCGUUUGCUCUGAACAAUAUCUCUUUGACCAAUAUUAUACAUAUAUAUCUAUUUAAUCUUCAAUUAUACUUAAAUUAUUACAAUUUAACUAAUCAAACGACCCGUGUGUACGCACGGGUUGCAGACUAGUUUAUUCAAAAAUCGUAGAAGUUCUAGCCUUUUGCGAAAGAAAUCUAAUAUCAUUAUAUACAAUCUUUAGGCUAGAAAAUUUACAAAAUUGACUAUUCUUAAUUUAACGACAAAUGUACAUUUAUUUUGUUCUUUUGUCUUUUAACAAAUUCCUUUUAUUACUUUUACUUUUUCA